AGAUUUGAGGACAAUAAGGUUAUAACAUCUGUCACUCCAUUGAUUGACAGGGUUGAUCCGUCUGAUCUGGCUGGUUUGGUGGAUAUCCUCUUCCUCCCUUACUGGCCCAUUGUAUCCCACCUAGAGCUGCCCGCUCAGUCAAAAAGGACGACCUUCCUUGAAUAGAGGAGGACCAGUCUUGGGUCAAGGGUAUAUGAGUAGCUGUGCUCCUCUGCUAGAACCUCCAAACAAGCUCUCAAAGUCACUUUGUAUAUGGGGCAGAGUAACACACCCAAGUAAGGAAUGUGCUGCCUU
rnacentral:snRNA from 1 species